UAUGAAAAUGUUUAUUUGACAUUUUGGAAUAAAAAAAAAAGGAGUCUUCCUACAAAUUUCCCUUAGAAACACAUUCUUCUUCUCUUAGAACCCCAACAUUCACCAUCGAUAUGAGAAUGUUAAAGAUGCGACUUGUUGAACCCGCCGUGAACUCCGGUUUCCGCUACUUCUAUUUUAGGGCAAGCAUCAAAUCCAUCACCACCGAUCUUGGCAACGCCAGCACAAUGUGGCAGUGGAAUGAAUUUGUAUCGCCGUUGAUUCGAUUCUUCAACGUCGACGUUCCUGACCUAAUUUUCUUUGGCACUUCCUACACGACUCUCCUAGAGAGGUACAAGUCCUUUUAAGCUCUCUAUAUGAUAUCCUGACAGUUGAUAUUCAUUUUUUAAAGUCAGCGUAAUCCAUCUUCCUUUUCAACUUUCAAUUACAGUGAUCUUUAAGGUAUGCCUUCGUUCUCCGUUCGUUUUCAUAGUUUCUCAUUGCUAUAGAAGCACAACACCUCCAUCAACUCUUGUUUACCUGUGUUUCGAGGUUCACUUGCUUUAUAAUUCCGUUAUUGAGUUCCUUGGGAUUUAGUUCGAUGAACUUGUGGAUUGAGUAUUUCUUUGUAUUUUAUCGAGCUUGUGGAUCAUUUACUCAAAAAGCAGGGCUGUGAUGUGAUAAUGAUGUUCUAAUAUGCUCAGUUUAUGGUUGGUACUACAGUUUGCAUCUGCUGAUAUUAUUUAGGAAUUUAGUAGCUUUAAACUACAUUCAUGAUCUUUUACUGUUUCUUAUAAUUUCAAAACUAAGUACUGUUCGACGUCCUCUGUUUUCUCCUAUUAAUCAUGAAAGUGUUUCCAUAUGUUGUGUUUUCUUCACUUGUUUCCCCCAAUUUUCCGUAUUUUAUUCGUGUUCCACUUUAAUUGGCAAGUGAAGAUACUGAGAUUGGGCCGCGGCACAAAAGAUUUAUUGGAACAAGAAAGUUGAUUUCCAAGGAAUUUGUCACUUCUAGCGAUGGUAGAAAUUUGGAAAUAGGUGAAUAUGAGUGGCAAACUUAUGGAGAAGUGUUUGGUCGUGCUUGCAACUUUGCAUCUGGGCUUGUUAGGUUUAGCCAUGAUGUUGAUACUCGUGUUGCCAUUUAUGCAGAAAUUUGUGCUCAGUGGUUUAUUGCCUUUCAGGUUAUCUUAUUAUUGUGCUCCAACAUUUUUUCUCUAGAACUUGCACUUGGUUUUAAGAAUUAAAUCUUUAAUUUUUUGUUCUAUUUUUAGACCAAUUCAGAAAUACAGUUGAUCUCUUUCAGGGAUGCUUUAGAUAGGACAUUACUGUGGUCAUAAUAUGCUACUCUUGGUUGGAGCUUGAACUGAAGGAGCAUUGUUUUUCUCAUGGGGGGUUCCCUUUUAUUUUUGAGAUGUUGAUUUCUUGUUCUACUUUUUGCUACUUUUGUAAUUUUGGUUAUGCCUCGAUGUAUAUUUUUAUGGUUUUUUUUUGUGCGUCGCCAGGUAAAGUUUACAGAGGAGCACCACAUUUGUAGUAUGUUUGUCAUUGCUCAUGUUGUUGAUCAUGGUAAGAUGUUUAUCUUUAAAUUGUAUUUUUUUUUAUGAGUUGGCUUCUUUUAUGAUCAUUUUGCCAUAUUUUAUGAGUUUGAUUUUGUUUCUAAAUUAAAGUUGUAUUACCCAUAAGGUGACUUUGAAGAUAGUCUCUUAGUCUAAAUGAUGUGGUUUUCACGUACUUAUAUUGUUACUGAAGUAGUGUUUUUGUGACAAACAAGUAAUUAGUAAAGACUGUGAGAUAAAGCAUUGUUUUCUCCCUUAUUUCUAUGUUUAGUUAGGGCUUUAUUUAUGUCAACGUCGUCUAGUAUUUUUUUACUUCUUUUUCUCCUUGUUCCAUAUCAAAGUAACGUGGGGUAUAGUUGAAUGAAUGCCUAAAUACUCAUGAAUUUGAAGUAUAACUUGUGUCUCAAAACAUAAUAUGUGUAUUACUUAUGCUUGCAAAGUGUGAAACAAUUUAACUAGAUUGUUAAGUAUUGGUUGAAUUAUGUUUAGCUUUGUUAGUCUUAUAAUUGUCAUUUUACUCUCCUAUUUGUACUUGGAAAGUACUUUAGAAUGGUAUGUGAACUUAUGAAUAAUAUUCACCAUCACUUCUCAUAUUUUGAGAUUGUCCAGUGUUGUCGGUAGAUUUUCUUUAUUUCCAAAAUUCACUAUUGUUAAUGUUGGACAAUCAUAUAUUGAUAUAUAUUUUAUAUAUUUAUGUAGUGAAUGAAAUGAUAUAUACCCAAAGUAAAAGAGUAUCAUAUAAUCUGGAAUACUUUAUGAAUUUUGUAUUUCAAGAGCUAAUUUAUGUUAGUAAUUAUAGUUAAUAUUCUAUCUAACUUAUAUUGUUUUGACAACAACUUUAUUCAAGGAAAUUAUGAAUACUUUAUUUUGUUAAUGUAAAUAGAUUAUGAAUGCAAGUGCUAUGAAGUAUUUUUUUUAUGUAUGGAUUUCAAUUAAAAAUGAGUACUUGAGUAAAAUUGAUCAAAAUCUAAUUAGUUUACAAAUUAUUAUUGAGCAACAAGUUGUACUUUUUAUGCCCAUGAGUGAAAGUUUAUAUAGCAAAAAACCAAAAGAUUAAAUAACAUUGUUAUAGAAUACAAUUAUAACUGCAAAUAUUAUAUUAUAGCAUUGAAAAAAGGUUAUUAUAUGUUAAAGAUAACACAUUAUUUUAGCUAUAUAAAUAUAUUAUAGCUUUAAUAAAAAUGUUAUCAAAUGUUUUUAUAGCAACAUAUAUAAGUCAUAUCUUCAUACUUUUAUAGCAUCCCAAAUUUUGAAACGUACAUUGUCCUCAAGCAAAUAAAAACAAGGACAAACAAGAAAGCAUAACAGAAAACCUCUCCUUGAAUGUUGGAGUAUAUGGGAUGGUGGUGGUGUUUUUGUAUUUAGAUCCAUCUAUGUAAUUAGUUAGUUGUUCAUUGGACACUAAAGAAAAUCAUCUAAAUCAUCUAACACAUUUAUAUGUAAUAUGAUCAAGUGCUUAGCCAAUACAUUUAGUGAUGUUAAAAGGAAGUCCAAAAUACCAAAUCAAUCAACACACUUAGAUGUAAUAUGCAUUCUAAACAUGUCAAUAAACUGCAUUAAGUUCUUGGGAUAAAGCAAAGAUGAUUAGUUACUAAGUAAUGUUUCCAUAGUCCUAACCGGUUUUAUUCAUGAACUUAAUCAAUCGUGUAAUGUUGUAAAAGGGCCACUGUGAAUAACCAAUCAAUGUUGUAAAAGGGCCACUAAUUCUACUCUUUAUCUUUCUACAGGUUUUCUGCAAUUUAAAUGGUUAGAUCUUUCAUUUAAUCAACUUUAUAACUUUAGCUUAUUCACACGUGGGAGGACAUAAUGCCUUUUAAACUUCCUAAAUAUAAUGAAUUUUCCUUAAAGAAACCUGAUUAUUCAAAUUUUAAGAUACAAUAACCUGUAUUCCUACAAAUUAUCAACGUGUGAAUGGAAUACUGAUUUGCACUGAGAUGAAUAACUGUCAUGUUGUUGCACAAAAGUAUAUGAAUAGUGAUGCUCUCCAAAAGAGUUAUUUAUCUCGACCUAAUUCUUGUUAGUUUUUAGGACUUUAAUAUUUAUUUGAGUGUUUAGAUAUGAAAACGAGUAAAGGAGACCGUUGAGACAUUCUAGGUGCAAUUUGGAUCAAAAGGGAGCACUCGACAUCGACUGGGAAGAAAAAAGAUUAAAAUACCCUCGACAUCAAGGGGAAUUAGCCCCAACUUGUUUUUCUUCAAUUUUCUUCAUAUUUUAGCUAGUUUUACUUCAAUUUUGGGAUGUAAUUUAUGGAUUGGAAGCUCCUUCCUUUAUUCUUUGUCUAUAAAGCAAUGAGGUAAAUGGUUCCGAUAGUUCUCAAGAGAAAACUUCAUGUAAACUUUAUUGAGAUUUAUGUUGAAAGAACAUUACAUUGUGACUUUACGUUUCUUUGGAUCUACUUUAAUUUUGUCUAUGAAGCAAUCUGGGCUUGGACUCCUUCUUUGGCAUUAGAUAGCGCAGAGCUACAUGAUCAGAAAAGCUGCACUGAGUCGGGUUGAGGGUCUUCGAAGCAUAGUAUAUGACAUGAUGUUUCUUGUUGACCUUCUACCCUAACAUUGCUCCUACAGCAUGGUCACUUACAUCGCACAUAAUCUCGAAUGGAAGAUUCCAACGAGGAGCCUAAAUGACCAGAGUACACGACAAGGCAUUCUUUAGCACAUCGAAACUUCUCCUACAAUCAUCAUUGAAAUCAAAGGCCACAUCCUUUUGAAGAAGAGAGGUCAUUGGUUGAGCAAUCUUACUAAAGUCUUUUAUGAACCUGCAAUAGAAACAUGCAUGACCAAGAAACGAACAAACCUCCCUCACAUAUGUGGAGUAAGGGAGCUUAGCAACUUGGACUUGAGUGUACAAGCAGUCAGAUUAAGCGUUCGGAACUAAAAGAUGCUCAAAUGACGAAGUUAGGAGCUAAAUCCAUCAAAUGACGAAGUAAGAAGGUUGCUGCACUGUCAAGCAUCGCAACGCUCUGAUUAAACUUGAGUCCAACGCUAACUUGACGGUAUUGGACAGAAUGCUCGGACGCAAGGCAGCGUCGCAAUGUUGUCUCGAGUGUUGCAAUGCUCCGGAGAAUCCAUGACGCCAUCGUCGCAACUCACCUUGACGCUUGAACCUUGACACGGAAAGACAAAAGCAUCGGCGUUGCAACGCUCCUUUAGAGCGUUGCGAUGCUACGAAGUUUGACAGGUGCGUAGCCCUAGCGAGCAUGCAACGCAGCGUCAGGCCAGUGCUGCAACGCCUGCCUAAUGCUCGGCCAUUAUGCACCGCAGUGUUGCAAUGCUCUUCCUGGUAUUGCGAUGCUGCGGCAGUUUUAUAAAAGGAUAAUUUGGGUCCAGCCGAUGUCAUCAGACCUAGUACACCCGAUUUUGAAUGCCACCGCUCUGUUCUAACCUUAUU